rnacentral:misc_RNA from 1 species
UCCGGUUUGUCACCGGCGGUCUCCCUAGAGUUCCCAACUAAAUGAUGGCAACUAGGGACAAGGGUUGCGCUCGUUGCGGGACUUAACCCAACAUCUCACGACACGAGCUGACGACAGCCAUGCAGCACCUGUCUCUCGGCUCCCGAAGGCACCCCCGCAUCGCUGCAGGGUUCCGAGGAUGUCAAGACCAGGUAAGGUUCUUCGCGUUGCAUCGAAUUAAUCCACAUAAUCCACCGCUUGUGCGGGUCCCCGUCAAUUCCUUUGAGUUUUAGCCUUGCGGCCGUACUCCCCAGGCGGCGAACUUAACGCGUUAGCUUCGACACUGAGUGGCUAAGUCCACCCAACGUCCAGUUCGCAUCGUUUAGGGCGUGGACUAC